AUUCCAGCUCCAGUAGCGUAUAUUAAAGUUGUUGCAGCUAAAAAGCUCGUAGUUGGAUCUCGGGUCGUCGGUAGGGGUUCAGGUUCAUGCCUGCUUACUCCUGUCGAUACCUAACUGGUGGGACGCUGUGGGUGCCCUUGACUGGGUCGCCUACUGCACCCGCUCAAUUUACUUUGAAAAAAUUAGAGUGUUCAAGGCAGGCUCACACGCCUGUAUAAUGGUGCAUGGAAUAAUGGAAUAGGAUCUCGGUUCUAUUUUGUUGGUUUUCGGAACUAGAGAUAAUGAUUAAGAGGGACAGACGGGGGCAUUCGUAUUGCGGUGUUAGAGGUGAAAUUCUUGGAUCGCCGCAAGACGAACUACUGCGAAAGCAUUUGCCAAGAAUGUUUUCAUUA
rnacentral:rRNA from 1 species